UAAAAUGCGAAACGCUAGCACAAGUGACGGCCAAAACACCACAACCUUUCUCUGACACACAAAGCACAUCGCCAAAAAUAUUGAAGCCUUAACUUUUUCAAAGGAAGAAAUUCUAAGAGAGCUCGCUAUGCAGCACUUAGUACAACAUCUUGACGCCCGUUGGCGCAAUGUAUUAUGAAGCGUCGAAUUCGUCGCACAUUUUCCCGUUGAAAAUACUCUAUCAUUAAAAUAGUAUCUUUAUUGAAAACUGUAUGUAUAACACAUAGUUAUAAUAGCGUUGUAAUUCGAGAUCAACCAGAUAGCAUGCACAUGUUACGUUACAAACUGAUUCGCACAGCAUUUUUAAUUGGCAUUUUUUUUUAAUUAA